GGGGUCACCAGAAAUGUGUGAUAUCAAAAUGUGGUUACAACCCAAUAAAGGUUGAGAACCAUUGCUUUAUCCACACUAGACAAAAACAGUAAUAUUCCUUUAAAAAAAAAAAGAGCAUUUUUUAAAUACACGUUUUCCAUGGCAACCGUGUCAUCUCUCACCCUAUAUAAGCGGUUAGAAAGAAAACAAACUGUUUUCCAACAGUUGUGUCUGCAGUUCACUGUUCAGUCUACAAGGAAAACUCUCUCAGAAAUCGCAAGCGACCAUUUCUGAACUUUAUCAACCAGAAUAUCAAAUAUCAACAACCCCCGCUCUCAAAAUGAAGACACCAUUGAACAUGCUGAUGGAUCCUGUGGUCCAGGAGGAGGAGGAGUUGAAGCACCUCCUUCCUGAGAUUACAGAUGUUGUGGAGCAGUAUCCAGAGGUUGCAGGACUGGUGCACUGGGCGACUUACCCUGUUAUGUCGUCUCCUCAUGUUUGUAAAUGUCCUCCUCCACCGUUAACAGACCUCCAAUUUUACAGCACUCCUUUCUUUCCACCUGAAAUUUUUCCGUCUUUUGAAGAACGAGAUGAGUUGGAUGAGUUAUUGGCUGUCAUGCCACCAGAGGCCCUGGAACCCAUCCCAGUUCCAAAGUGAGUGUCCUUGAGUUGUUUUAAUUGUUUUUUUUUCUGAGUAACUCUAGAUCAGAGUGUCUCCCUGCUCUCUCUCUCCACUACUCUCAGCUACUGUUUCCCUGCCCUGCUCACUGUUUGUGUUUUGUUCCUCAGAAAAAGGAAGCUUGAGAAGGAUAAGGGCCCAUAUGUUAAGAAACCUCCCAACGCAUUCAUGCUUUUCUUAAAAAGUGAGAGGAAGACGGUCCAAGAAGAGCUCGGCAUUAAGAACAGUGCCGCCAUCAACAAAGUUCUUUCUGAACGCUGGAAGUCUUUGGAACCAAACAAAAGGGAACUCUUUCAAGCAGAAGCCCAAAUAGAAGCUGAUAUCCAUGCUCUGAAUAACCCCGGCUGGAGCAGCAAAGCAAACUACGUAAGUCUACUCUGUAGAAAUGUUUAACCAUCAACCUUAGAGGUGAUGACAUCAUGACUGUGGAAGUGUUUUAUCAGCUGACUAGAAUUUUCACGUCUGUUUUUAGGGGAAAAAGAGCAAAAAAUCACGGACUAAAGCUCCACGUCUGCCUCCACCCUCCGACUGAUGGGAAUGUAUAAUAAACAUCACCAACAUACUAACGGUAAGUAUCA
rnacentral:lncRNA from 1 species